ACUAUUUUGGCAGAUAAGUGCGGUAGAUUUAGGAUCUUCUUAUGUAAUAUUUUAUUUUACAGAUAGUA
rnacentral:tRNA from 2 species